AGAAGUAAAAGUCGUAACAAGGUUUCCGUAGGUGAACCUGCGGAAGGAUCAUUAAAGAAUGCCCCGUUUUUCGAAAUGGGUUCUAUUCCCAAACCGUGUCUACAUACCUUUGUUGCUUUGGCGGGCCGCCUUCGGGCGUUGGCCUCGGCUAACUGUGCCCGCCGGAGGACCCAAACUCGUUUUGUUUAGUGAUGUCUGAGUACUAUAAAAUAGUUAAAACUUUCAACAACGGAUCUCUUGGUUCUG
rnacentral:misc_RNA from 1 species